GAGCUGACUGGGCUCGGAAGCAGCGGUACCGCGUGUGGGUGAUGUACAGUGUUCAGCGCAAACUUCAUACUGACCGCUGUGGGUCAGUUCUAAUGAGCUCUCAGAGCACGCUGCUGUCUGGAGAAGAGCUACAGCUCUGAGCUCAAUGCUACGAAAAACCGUGCGGAGUCAAGUUGGAGACCAGCUGAACUUGUGUUUAAUAAACAAAAGGGCUCAGCAUUGCUGUCUUAAUUAGCACGAACUACAAGACGCUCUGAGUCGGAGCAUUUCAAUUAAUUUAACCCGUAAAUGAAUAUGUUGGUCACGUUAAUAUUGAACUAUUACUUUGUGUCGUGUUUGUGUAUAACGGGAUGUUUUAAUUUAAGAAGGUCAAUCAUGCUAAAUUAUACCAGAUGAGUGUACGAGAUUACUAACGCCAUACUCGACGCCAAUUUGUCCCGACACAAACGAGAGCAGCAGAUGCGAGUUUGAAUUUGAACGUGAAUCCUAUUGAAGCGGGUUUUAUUUGCACUGAUAAACGAUGAAGAUUCAUACGGAGAUUCUUCAUAGCUCCACUCGCUCUCCCGGUCUGAGAAUUAAAAGGCUCAGAGAGACAGACUGUACUACUGCACCACCAGAGACGGAGGAGAGAUCCAACCAGACUGCUUACAGG